rnacentral:lncRNA from 1 species
UAGGUUGAUUCGGUUUCACCUAUCAGCUUGCUGCGUGCCCUUUUGUUUGGGAUCUCAUCUCGGUGUAACGCUGCAACGUUAUAUGUCCCAAGUAAACUUUGAGAUAGGCUUGUCGCCAAUUUUUGCUAUUAGGUGAGUCGUGAAUAAUUAUGAACUUCCUCUGUGCGAGUGAAGUGAGGUGACUGGAAUUUAACGUACCCCUGUGGAUGUGUAUGGUUUUAAGCUCUGCGUCUGUGUCCGGUUUCCUUCUGUGUUGUUUGCUCUGUUUUAGUUUGAAAUGAAACCUUGUCAUGUACGGCCAUGAUUUUUACAAGAAUCAUCAUGAUGAUAAAUUAGCACCAUCUUCCAAAUAGCAUUAGGCGUCGUGGUGAGGUUUGUCCCUUUCUCCUCUCAUGGGUGUCCCCCGUUCUCUCAUUGCUGGAAGAUGUCUUCAGGACAAACCUUGGGCCUUGCUCCGCCAUCCUCUUUGUCUGUUUUGAUGCUUUCAUCCACUUUCUGAAUGCACGCACAGGCACACAAAUACAUGGCUGAAAUAAUACAUGGUAGCUGAAAAGGCGCGAACUACACAAAAAUACAUGGCUGGAAAUAAUCUGGGCGCAAGCUAAUUAAAGGCCUAACAGCUGUGGCCAUUAUUUUUCAGAGACAACUAGACAAAGUAUCGCUGUAGUAUUUGCAGACCACAGUUGCAUAAUUUAGAUGGCAAACAUGCACCACUUACGUAUCAAAAGCUAGGCUUCCAUCGAACGUGCCUGCUAUUGUGGCCCAACAGGAAGCCUAGAGGUCUAGGGGAGUAGCAUGAUGCUAUGUCGCUGUUAAGCACAAGCAUCAGAGCCUUAUAAUAUGCUAUAUUAGUGAACCCAGGGUAUGAGUUGCAUGCCCUUUUGGAGGCAAGGAAUCUGAUUGCACAUGAUCAUAUUUGGUUAAUUUGUACCUUAUUGUGGUUUUCUCCUAUACCAUUUGCCGACAACUCAAUUACCCAAUACUUAGUUUAAAUUUGGUAUAGUUAUUCGUUCAUCUCUUCGUAAUCGUACGUUAACUCCAGCAUUUUUUUUCCUUCUCUUGGAAGGUCUCACAUUGUAAUUUCCAUCAUACAGCAAAAACAGAUGCAUGCCAAAAGAUACAAUUGACUGCCAUUGCCAGGAUUAUUUUUGGAUGAGCUAGCACUUCUGCUCGUCCACCACUGAAAACCCAGUACUGAAUGGCUAAAAAGUUUUCAUGUUAGGAGAAACAACAAUUAAACUUUCCCAUUUGAAUUUCUGUAGAACUAAAGCAAAAGGUAGGUGGAAGCGUCGAGCAAGAUUUUGUAUGCAAAGCAAUCUCAUCAAGAUAUGAACGAAACACAAGUGUUAGCAUGCUUCAAUUUGGAUUGGGCUCCAAAGUCCUCAUGAACUUCAAUGUGGGUUCCUAAUUAUUAUACUGGGAUUCCUACAAUCUUCCUUCGUCAAAAAGGAAAAUAAACAAAUAAACAGAAAGUGAAGUACUUGUGGGGCAUAAAUUUCAUUUUUCCUUGCCUUCCGCUAAGAAAGCCAUAAGCCAUCUUAAUUUGAUGGUAUACGCAAGAGGAGCUCUUAAACAAAUGCAAGUGCAAUAAACUACACACCGUCCUGAUUAGAGAACCUCUUGAGAAGCUGGAAAGAGCUGGGAGAUUUUGUAUGAGAGAACCUCUUGAGGAAAAAUGAAGCAUGAUAAACAAAAAGAAUACACUAAUAAACAGAAACAGAAGGAGAAGGCAGGGCAAACAACACCAAAUUAGCAAGCAUUUACCUUCCAUGCAAGUCCGCCUACUUACGCAAGAGAAACCAGAAAACAAUCUCUAUAUCUGUUGGUGGCCGUGAGAAAAUGAAGCUGCAGCAUGAUCUGAUGGAGCAAAAAUUCCAAGAUAACCCCGCGCAACCGAACGCGGUUUCGGCGCAUGCUGGAUGAGCAGAUCAUGCUGGCAGCUUCAGUCUCUCACACCAGCAAAGGCGUCCGUCCGUCCAUGGUAGCAGAAGGACAUGGAGCUACGCGGAGAUAGGGGUAAGGGAGAGAAGUGGCCGCUGCCAUGCAUAUGUACCUAUCUGGGAUAUCUGUAUGGCGGCCUCAUAUGCGUAGGGUGGGCGAACUUAAAGGAGAGGAGGAGGAGGAGGGGAGGAGCGACAAAACCAUGGCAGGAGGGGUGGGUGUGUGUCCAUGGUGGUUGGUGCAAGCAUGGUCCCUUUCUUGCCGCUCACACCUCGUGACACUGCCGUUUUGCCCUCACCGAAGUCGCCAUCGCCACCACGGCUUGUUUUAUGUGCAGUGUCCUUGCUCCCCCGGCCACACCAGAACGGCACAUGCAUCUCUACGUUUUGCUCUCAAGUCCGGAUUUUUCGUAGGAUAAUGUUUAAGAGUGCAGAUGAUUGGUCGUGUUGCUAUCUAUGUGUUUGUUGUGCGAGUCUGCUGAUCGAUUUAUUUACUCCCUCCCUUUCGCAAUGAAAAGAGAUUUAUUUGCUUCCUCCGAUCCAAAUUAAUUGACGCAACCUCUAUACAAGGUAAGUGGGAGUACUGAUGAUGGAUGGACAGUGGUGUUGAGGGUGCAGGUGAGGCUUUCAAAAAUAUGUCAUAGCAUUCUAAAGUUAUGCUAACGGUGUUUUAAUUCGCAAAAAAAAAAAACGGUGUUUUAAAGCAUUUCACGUUCAUUAAAGAUUAACUUUCAGAUGUGUUGUGUUCUUUCGCAGGGUCUUUCGCAACACUGCCGCUACGACGAUGAUGGUCGUCAUGAAGAUCAAAGAGGAGGCCCAUCUUUGGGCUAUGGCCGAUACACCCACUUGAGUAUUGUAAUGCCACGAGAGUAGUUCUCUGUUUCCUGCUUUGCGGCUAUUUGUCUAAAACCUUCUCCCUUAAUCAACGAAAAUGACAAAUUUUUUGCCUUGUUUUUGUAAAAGAAACUUCUAGAUGUGCUUUGGUGAGAUGCAUACUUCACAAUUUCUGGCUACCAUUACACAUGUAUUUUCUUGACAUGCAUACAAAAAUUCAGUGGGUGUACAAAGUGUUCCAGUACAUAUCAACUUGCCUCUUAGAGUGUCACCGUGUGUGGUUGCGUAUUGAGUCAAUUACACAUGUGGUGCUUGAAUUUGGCGCAAAUGGUUGCUUUACUGCUAGAACUUAUUGUUGGAAAUAUGCCCUAGAGCAAUAAUAAAUUGGUUAUUAUCAUAUUUUCCCUUCAUGAUAAAUGUUUAUUAUUCAUGAUAGAAUUGUGUUGACCGGAAACUUAAAUACACGUGUGAAUACAUAAACUACACUGUGUCCCUAGUAAGCCUCUACUAGACUAGCUCGUUGAUCAAAAAUGGUUAUGGUUUCCUGACCAAAGACAUGAGUUGUCAUUUGAUAAGAGAUCAUAUCAUUAGGAGAAUGAUGUGAUGGACAGACCCAACCGUAAGGUUAGCAUCAGAUCGUUUAGUUAUUUGCUAUAGCUUUCUUCAUGUCAAGUAUUUGUUGCUUCGACCAUGAGAUCAUGCUACUCCCGAAUACCGGAGGAAUGCCUUGUGUGCAUCAAACGUCACUUCGUAACCGGGUGAUCAUAAAGGUGCUCUACAGGUAUCUCCGAAGGUGUCUGUUAGGUUGCAUGGAUCGAGACUGGGAUUUGUCACUCCGUGUGACGGAGAGAUAUCACAUCAUAGGAAGCUUCAUGUGACUAAUGGGUUUAGUCACGUGAUCUUGUAUUACGGAAUGAGUAAAGAGACUUGCCAGUAACGAGAUUGAACUAGGUAUGGAGAUCCUGACGGUCGAAUCUCGGGCAAGUAACAUAUCGCUAGACAAAGGGAAUUGCAUACGGGAUUAACCGAAUCCUUGACAUCGUGGUUCAACCGAUGAAGAUCUUCGUAGGAUAUGUAGGAACCAAUAUGAGCAUCCAGGUUCCGCUAUUGGUUAUUGGCCGGAGAGGAGUCUCGGUCAUGUCUGCAUAGUUCUCGAACCCGCAGGGUCGCACGCUUAACGUUCGAUGACGCUAGGGUAGUAUUGAGAUCAUAAUAGUGGAAAGUCCGAAGGUUGUUCGGAGUCCCGGAUGGGAUCCGGUGUUGGGAAAUGUAUCAUGCAAUUUCAAAUUUCAUACGCUCACGCAAGAUCUAUCUAGGAGAUGCAUAGCAAUGAGAGGGGAAGAGUGUGUCCACGUACCCUCGUAGACCAAAAGCGGAAGCGUUUGACAACGUGGUUGACGUAGUCGAACUUCUUCUCGUUUCGACCGAUCAAGCACCGAACGUACGGCACCUUCGAGUUCUGCACACGUUCAGCUCGAUGACAUCCCUCGGACUCUUGAUCCAGCAGAGUUCGAGGAAGUAGACGAGUUCUGUCAGCACGACGGCAUGGUGACGGUGAUGGUGAAGUGAUCCGCGCAGGGCUUCGCCUAAGCACUACGAAGAUAUGACCGGAGGCGUAAACUGUGAAGGGGGGCGCCGCACACGGCUAACAAUUGUUGGUGUGUGUUCUAGCGGUGCCCCCACAUAUAUAUAGGUUGGAGGGGAGGAGAGGCAGCCAAGGGGGCGCCCCAAGUAGGAGGAAUCCUACUUGGGCGCCUCCCCAAUUCGGCCUCCCCCCUUCCAUAAGUUCCGGAGGGGGAAGGAAGGAGGAGGGAGGGGGGAAGGAAGGGGGAGGUCGAAUCCCUCCCCUUCCUUCUCUCUUCCCCUCUUUCCUUCUCCUCCUAUUUCGGCCUUUAUGGGGGCGCACCAGCCCCUUGUGGGCUGGUCUAUCCCUCUCUUAGCCCAUAAGGCCCAUAUCUUUGCCGGGGGUGCCCGGAACCCCUUUCGGUGACCCGAUAUGUACCCGAUACCCUCCGGAACACUUCCGUGUCCGAAUACUAUCGUCCUAUAUAUCAAUCUUUACCUCUCGACCAUUUUGAGACUCCUUGUCAUGCCCGUGAUCUCAUCCGGGACUCCGAACAACAUUCGGUCACCAAAUCACAUAACUCAUGUAGUAUAAAAUCGUCAUCGAACGUUAAGCGUGCGGACCCUACGUGUUCGAGAACUAUGUAGACAUGUCCGAGACACCUCUCCGGUCAAUAACCAAUAGCGGAACCUGGAUGCUCAUAUUGGCUUCUACAUAUUCUAUGAACAUCUUUAUCGGUCGAACUGUUAUGACAACAUACGUUAUUCCCUUUGUCAUCGGUAUGUUACUUGCCCGAGGUUUGAUCGUCGGUAUCUUCAUACCUAGUUCAAUCUCAUUACCGGCAAGUCUCUUUACUCGUUCCGUAAUACAUCAUCCCGCAACUAACUCAUUAGUCACAUUGUUCGCAAGGCUUCUUAUGAUGUGUAUUACCGAGAGGGCCCAGAGAUACCUCUCCGAUACUAAGAGUGACAAAUCCUAAUCUCGAUCUAUGCCAACCCAACAAACACCUUCGGAGAUACCUGUAGAGCAUCUUUAUAAUCACCUAGUUACGUUGUGACGUUUGAUAGCACACAAGGUAUUCCUCCGAUAUCCGGGAGUUGCAUAAUCUCAUGGUCGAGGGAAUAUGUAUUUGACAUGAAGAAAGCUAUAGCAAUAAAAUUGAACAAUCAUAAUGCUAAUCUAAUGGAUGGUCUUGUCCAUCACAUCAUUCUCCUAAUGAUGUGAUCCCGUUCAUCAAAUGACAACACAUGUCUAUGGUUAGGAAACUUAACCAUCUUUGAUUAACGAGCUAGUCUAGUAGAGGCUUACUAGGGACACAGUGUUUUGUCUAUGUAUCCACACAUGUAUUAAGUUUCUGGUUAAUUCAAUUCUAGCAUGAAUAAUAAACAUUUAUCAUGAUAUAAGGAAAUAUAAAAUAAUAACUUUAUUAUUGCCUCUAGGGCAUAUUUCCUUCAGUAUCCCACUUGCACUAGAGUCAAUAAUCUAGUUCACAUCGCCAUAUGAUUUAACACCAACAGUUCACAUCUUUAUGUGAUUAACACCCAUAGUUCACAUCGCCAUGUGACCAAUACCCAAAGGGUUUACUAGAGUCAAUAAUAUAGUUCACAUCGCUAUGUGAUUAACACCCAAAGAGUACUAAGGUGUGAUCAUGUUUUGCUUGUGACAGAAGUUUAGUCAACGGGUCUGCCACAUUCAGAUCCGUAUGUAUUUUGCAAAUUUCUAUGUCUACAACGCUCUGCAUGGAGCUACUCUAGCUAAUUGCUCCCACGUUCAAUACGUAUCUAGAUUGAAACUUGGAGUCAUCUAGAUCAGUGUUAAAGCUUGCAUCGACAUAACUCUUUAUGACGAACUCUUUAUCACCUCCAUAACUGGAAAACAUUUCCUUAGUCCUCUUUAAGGUAACUAAGGAUAAUUUUGACCGCUGUCCAGUGAUCUAUGUUGGGGAACGUAGUAUUUCAAAAUUUUUGCCUACGAUCACGCAAGAUCUAUCUAGGAGAAGCAUAGCAACGAGCGGGGAGAGUGUGUCCACAUACCCUCGUAGACCGAAAGCGGAAGCGUUUAGUAACACGGUUGAUGUAGUCGAACGUCUUUGCGAUCCAACCGAUCAAGUACCGAAUGCACCGCACCUCCGCGAUCUGCACACGUUCAGCUCGGUGACGUCCUUCGAACUCUUGAUCCAGCUGAGGCCGAGGGAGAGUUCCGUCAGCACGACGGCGUAGUGACGGUGAUGAUGAAGUUACCGGCGCAGGGCUUCGCCUAAGCACUAUGAUGAUAUGAUCGAGGUGUAAAACUGUGCAGGGGGGCACCACACACGGCUAAGAGAUUGUCUAUUGUGCCUUUAGGGUGCCCCCUGCCCCCAUAUAUAAAGGAGGGGAGGAGGAGGCUGGCCGACAAGGGGCGCGCUAGGGAGAGGGGAGUCCUACUAGGACUCUAGUCCUAGUAGGAUUCGGCCCCACCCUUUUUUCCUUCUACCGGAGGGGGAAAAGGGGAAGGAGAGGGAGUAGGNNNNNNNNNNNNNNNNNNNNNNNNNNNNNNNNNNNNNNNNNNNNNNNNNNNNNNNNNNNNNNNNNNNNNNNNNNNNNNNNNNNNNNNNNNNNNNNNNNNNNNNNNNNNNNNNNNNNNNNNNNNNNNNNNNNNNNNNNNNNNNNNNNNNNNNNNNNNNNNNNNNNNNNNNNNNNNNNNNNNNNNNNNNNNNNNNNNNNNNNNNNNNNNNNNNNNNNNNNNNNNNNNNNNNNNNNNNNNNNNNNNNNNNNNNNNNNNNNNNNNNUCCCUUGUGGGGGGCGCACCAGCCCCUUGUGGGCUGGUUCGUCUCCCUCCUAUGGCCCAUAAGGCCCAUAUCUUUCCCCGGGGGGUUCCGGUAACCUCCCGGUACUCCGGAAAAAUGCCCGAAUCACUCGGAACCAUUCCGAUGUCUGAAUGCAACCUUCCAAUAUAUGAAUCUUUACCUCUCGACCAUUUUGAGACUCCUCGUCAUGUCCGUGAUCUCAUCCGGGACUCCGAACAAACUUCGGUACAUCAAAUCACAUAACUCAUAAUACAAAUCGUCAUCGAACGUUAAGCAUGUGGACCCUACGGGUUCGAGAACUAUGUAGACAUGACCGGGACACAUCUCCGGUCAAUAACCAAUAGCGGAACCUGGAUGCUCAUAUUGGCUCCUACAUAUUCUACAAAGAUCUUUAUCGGUCAAACCGCAUAACAACAUACGUUGUUCCCUUUGUCAUCGGUAUGUUACUUGCACGAGAUUCGAUCGUCGGUAUCAUCUACCUAGUUCAAUCUCGUUACCCGCAAGUCUCUUUACUCGUUCCGUAAUACAUCAUCCCGCAACUAACUCAUUAGUCACAUUGCUUGCAAGGCUUAUAGUGAUGUGCAUUACCGAGAGGGCCCAGAGAUACCUCUCCGAUACACAUAGUGACAAAUCCUAAUCUCGAUCUAUGCCAACUCAACAAACACCAUCGGAGACACCUGUAGAGCAUCUUUAUAAUCACCCAGUUACGUUGUGACGUUUGAUAGCACACUAAGUGUUCCUCCGGCAUUCGGGAGUUGCAUAAUCUCAUAGUCAUAGGAACAUGUAUAAGUCAUGAAGAAAGCAAUAGCAAUAAACUUAAACGAUCAUAGUGCUAAGCUAACGGAUGGGUCUUGUCCAUCACAUCAUUAUCUAAUGAUGUGAUCCCGUUCAUCAAAUGACAACACAUGUCUAUGGCUAGGAAACUUAACCAUCUUUGAUUACGAGCUAGUCAAGUAGAGGCAUACUAGGGGCACUCUGUUUUGUCUAUGUAUUCACACAUGUAUCAAGUUUCCGGUUAAUACAAUUCUAGCAUGAAUAAUAAACAUUUAUCAUGACAUAAGGAAAUAUAAAUAACAACUUUAUUAUUGCCUCUAGGGCAUAUUUCCUUCAAUCUAGUCCUGGAUCACUAUUGUACGCCCUUGCCAAACUCAUGGCAAGGUACACAAUAGGUCUGGUACACAACAUAGCAUACUAUAUAGAACCCAUGGUCUUAGGCAUAGGGAAUGACUUUCAUUCUCUUUCUAUAUUCUGCCGUGGUCGUUUUUUUGAGUCUUACUCAACUUCACACCUUGCAACACAGGCAAGAACCCUUUCUUUGACUGAUCCAUUUUGAACUAUCUUCAAAACUUUGUCAAGGUAUGCGUUUUAUGAAAGUCCUAUUUGUUGGAAAUAUGCCCUAGAGGCAAUAAUAAAUGGUUAUUAUUAUAUUUCUUUGUUCAUGGUAAUUGUCUAUUAUUCAUGCUAUAAUUGUAUUAUCCGGAAAUCGUAAUACAUGUGUGAAUACAUAGACCACAAAGUGUCCCUAGUAAGCCUCUAGUUGACUAGCUCGUUAAUCAACAGAUAGUCAUGGUUUCCUGACUAUGGACAUUGGAUGUCAUUGAUAACGGGAUCACAUCAUUAGGAGAAUGAUGUGAUGGACAAGACCCAAUCCUAAGCAUAGCAUAAAAGAUCGUGUAGUUUCGUUUGCUAGAGCUUUUCCAAUGUCAAGUAUCUUUUCCUUAGACCAUGAGAUCGUGCAACUCCCGGAUACCGUAGGAGUGCUUUGGGUGUGCCAAACGUCACAACGUAACUGGGUGACUAUAAAGGUGCAUUACGGGUAUCUCCGAAAGUGUUUGUUGGGUUGGCACGGAUCGAGACUGGGAUUUGUCACUCCGUGUGACGGAGAGGUAUCUCUGGGCCCACUCGGUAAUGCAUCAUCAUAAUGAGCUCAAUGUGACUAAGGCGUUAGUCACGGGAUCAUGCAUUGCGGUACGAGUAAAGAGACUUGCCGGUAACGAGAUUGAACAAGGUAUUGGGAUACCGACGAUCGAAUCUCGGGCAAGUAACAUACCGAUUGACAAAGGGAAUUGCAUACGGAUUGAUUGAAUCCUCGACACCAUGGUUCAUCCGAUGAUAUCAUCGUGGAACAUGUGGGAGCCAACAUGGGUAUCCAGAUCCCGCUGUUGGUUAUUGACCGGAGAGGCGUCUCGGUCAUGUCUGCAUGUCUCCCGAACCCGUAGGGUCUACACACUUAAGGUCCGGUGACGCUAGGGUUGUAGAGAUAUAUGUAUGCGGAAACCCGAAAGUUGUUCGGAGUCCCAGAUGAGAUCCCGGACGUCACGAGAGGUUCCGGAAUGGUCCGGAGGUAAAGAUUUAUAUAUGGGAAGUCUUAUUUUGGUCGCCGGAAAAGUUUCGCGCUUUAUCGGUAUUGUACCGGGAGUGCCGAAAGGGGUCCGGGGGUCCACCAAGGGGGUCCACCAGCCCCGGGGGGCCACAUGGGCUGUAAGGGGUGCGCCUUGGCCUAUAUGGGCCAAGGGCACCAGCCCCAAGAGGCCCAUGCGCAAGAGAUAAGAAAAAAAGGGAGAGUCCUAAAGGGGGAAGGCACCUCCGAGGUGCCUUGGGGGGGAAGGACUCCCCCCUGGCCGCACCCUUCCUUGGAGGAAGGGGCAAGGCUGCGCCCCCCCUCUCCCUUGGCCCUAUAUAUAGUGGGGGGAAGGGAGGGCAGCAACAUCUAAGCCUUGGGCGCCUCCCUCCUCCCCUGCAACACCUCUCUCUCUCGCAGAAGCUUGCGAAGCCCUGCCGGAGAGCCGCUACAUCCACCACCACGCCGUCGUGCUGUUGGAUCUCCAUCAACCUCUCCUUCCCCCUUGCUGGAUCAAGAAGGAGGAGACGUCGCUGCACCGUACGUGUGUUGAACGCGGAGGUGCCGUCCGUUCGGCACUCGAUCAUCGGUGAUUUGGAUCACGGCGAGUACGACUCCGUCAUCCACGUUCAUUGGAACGCUUCCGCUCGCGAUCUACAAGGGUAUGUAGAUGCACUCCUUUCCCCUCGUUGCUAGUAGACUCCAUAGAUGCAUCUUGGUGAGCGUAGGAAAAUUUUAAAUUAUGCUACGAUUCCCAACAGUGGCAUCAUGAGCCAGGCCUAUGCGUAGUUACUAUGCACGAGUAGAACACAAAGUAGUUGUGGGCGUUGAGUUUGCCAAUUCUUCUUGCCGCUACUAGUCUUUUCUUGUUUCGGCGGCAUUGUAGGAUGAAGCGGCCCGGACCGACCUUACACGUACACUUACGUGAGACAGGUUCCACCGACUGACAUGCACAAGUUGCAUAAGGUGGCUAGCGGGUGUCUGUCUCUCCUACUUUAGUCGGAACGGAUUCGAUGAAAAGGGUCCUUUUGAAGGGUAAAUAGAAAUUGGCAAAUCACGUUGUGGUCAUACGUUGGUAAGAAACGUUCUUGCUAGAAACCUACAAACCACGUAAAAACUUGCAACAACAAUUAGAGGACGUCUAACUUGUUUUUGCAGCAAGUGCUAUGUGAUGUGAUAUGGCCAGAAGAUGUGAUGAAUGAUAUAUGUGAUGUAUGAGAUUGAUCAUAUUCUUGUAAUAGGAAUCACGACCUACAUGUCGAUGAGUAUGACAACCGGCAGGAGCCAUAGGAGUUGUCUUUAUUAUUUUGUAUGACCUGCGUGUCAUUGAAUAAUGCCAUGUAAAUUACUUUACUUCGUUGCUAAACGCGUUAGCCAUAGAAGUAGAAGUAAUCGUUGGCGUGACGACUUCAUGAAGACACAAUGAUGGAGAUCAUGAUGAUGGAGAUCAUGGUGUCAUGCCGGUGACAAAGAUGAUCAUGGUGCCCCGAAGAUGGAGAUCAAAGGAGCAUAAUGAUAUUGGCCAUAUCAUGUCACUAUUUGAUUGCAUGUGAUGUUUAUCAUGUUUUUGCAUCUUAUUUGCUUAGAACGACGGUAGUAAGUAAGAUGAUCCCUUAUAAUAAUUUCAAGAAAGUGUUCACCCUAACUGUGCACCGUUGCGAAGGUUCGUUGUUUCGAAGCACCACGUGAUGAUCGGGUGUGAUAGAUUCUAACGUUCGAAUACAACGGGUGUUGACGAGCCUAGCAUGUACAGACAUGGCCUCAGAACACACGCAAUACACUUAGGUUGACUUGACGAGCCUAGCAUGUACAGACAUGGCCUCGGAACACGGAGGACCGAAAGGUCGAGCAUGAGUCGUAUAGAAGAUACGAUCAACAUGGAGAUGUUCACCGAUCUUGACUAGUCCGUCUCACGUGAUGAUCGGACACGGCCUAGUUAAACUCGGAUCAUGUUUCACUUAGAUGACGAGAGGGAUGUCUAUCUGAGUGGGAGUUCAUUAAAUAAUUUGAUUAGAUGAACUCAAUUAUCAUGAACUUAGUCUAAAAUCUUUACACUAUGUCUUGUAGAUCAAAUGGCCAACGUUGUCCUCAAUUUCAACGCGUUCCUAGAGAAAACCAAGCUGAAAGAUGAUGGCAGCAACCAUACGGACUGGGUCCGGAACCUGAGGCUCAUCCUCAUAGUAGCCAAGAAAGAUUAUGUCUUAGAAGCACCGCUAGGUGAUGCACCAAUCCCACAGAACCAAGACGUUAACGCUUGGCAAUCACGUGCUGAUGAUUACUCCCUUGUUCAGUGCGGCAUGCUUUACAGCCUAGAACCGGGUCUCCAAAAGCGUUUUGAGAAACAUGGAGCAUAUGAGAUGUUCGAGGAGCUGAAACUGGUUUUUCAAGCUCAUGCCCGGGUCGAGAGAUAUGAUGUCUCCGACAAGUUCUUCAGCUGUAAAAUGGAGGAGAACAGUUCUGUUAGUGAGCACAUACUCAGAAUGUCUGGGUUGCACAACCGCUUGUCUCAGCUGGGAGUUAAUCUCCCGGAUGACGCGGUCAUUGACAGAAUCCUCCAGUCGCUUCCACCAAGCUACAAGAGCUUUGUGAUGAACUGCAAUAUGCAGGGGAUGGAAAAGACCAUUCCCGAGGUAUAUUCAAUGCUGAAAUCAGCGGAAGGGGAGAUCAGAAAAGAACAUCAAGUGUUGAUGGUGAAUAAAACCACCAAGUUCAAGAAGGGCAAGGGUAAGAAGAACUUCAAGAAGGACGGCAAGGGAGUUGCCGCACCCGGUAAACCAGUUACUGGGAAGAAGUCAAAGAAUGGACCCAAGCCCGGGACUGAGUGCUUUUAUUGCAAGGGAAGUGGUCACUGGAAGCGGAACUGCCCCAAAUAUUUAGCGGACAAGAAGAAGGCCGGCAACACCCAAGGUAUAUGUGAUAUACAAGUAAUUGAUGUGUACCUUACCAGUACUCGUAGUAGCUCCUGGGUAUUUGAUACCGGUGCGGUUGCUCAUAUUUGUAACUCAAAACAGGAACUACGGAAUAAACGGAGACUGGCAAAGGACAAGGUGACGAUGCGCGUCGGGAAUGGUUCCAAGGUCGAUGUGAUCGCCGUCGGCACGCUACCUCUGCAUCU